rnacentral:rRNA from 1 species
GACGAACGCUGGCGGCGUGCCUAAUACAUGCAAGUUGAGCGCUGAAGGUUGGUACUUGUACCAACUGGAUGAGCAGCGAACGGGUGAGUAACGCGUGGGGAAUCUGCCUUUGAGCGGGGGACAACAUUUGGAAACGAAUGCUAAUACCGCAUAAAAACUUUGAACACAAGUUUUAAGUUUGAAAGAUGCAAUUGCAUCACUCAAAGAUGAUCCCGCAUUGUAUUAGCUAGUUGGUGGGGUAAAGGCUCACCAAGGCGAUGAUACAUAGCCGACCUGAGAGGGUGAUCGGCCACAUUGGGACUGAGACACGGCCCAAACUCCUACGGGAGGCAGCAGUAGGGAAUCUUCGGCAAUGGACGAAAGUCUGACCGAGCAACGCCGCGUGAGUGAAGAAGGGUUUCGGAUCGUAAAACUCUGUUGGUAGAGAAGAACGUUGGUGAGAGUGGAAAGCUCAUCAAGUGACGGUAACUACCCAGAAAGGGACGGCUAACUACGUG